CCCACCAAGCCGACGAUCAGUAGCCGACCUGAGGGGGUGACCGGCCACAUUGGGACUGAGACACGGCCCAAACUCCUACGGGAGGCAGCAGUGGGGAAUAUUGCACAAUGGGGGAAACCCUGAUGCAGCGAUGCCGCGUGAGUGAAGAAGUAUCUCGGUAUGUAAAGCUCUAUCAGCAGGGAAGAAGAUGACGGUACCUGACUAAGAAGCACCGGCUAAAUAC
rnacentral:rRNA from 1 species